rnacentral:lncRNA from 1 species
CCUUAGGAGGGCAAAACAUUGGACUCCAUGCGGCUCACAUGGUUUAUGUCGGUUAUAAGAAACUCCCAAGUCCAUAAUAGUCUAAGUUUCUUGAGUUACCGAGUCACUCUAAGUCAUGAGUCAAAGAGUUUGAGUUGAGUCCAAUGAUUUAUGAGAUUUAUGAAGCAUGUGUUAUUAUUGAUGAUUUAUGGAAAUUAUGUUUCAGGAAAUU